AUAUGUAAUGGUACAAUAUCCUUUACAUAUGAUCUUUGGACAAGCAACAGAAAGUACAAUUUAGUAGUUGUCGAGUGGCCGAACUUGGAGGCAGUAGCAUUCAGGCAGAGCUGGUAAUUGCUCAUUGAAGGCAGUAGAGUACAGGCAGAGCUCAUAGUUGGUCAUGCAUACAGUUAUUGUGUAAUGGCACACUGUUUAAAGUUUUCUUUAAUUGUGUGUCUUAAUAUCAAUGCUCAUGUGUUUAACAAAAUAAAUGUUGUAUAGUAAAAUCCAUGCAUUACUAAUUUCAGAAGUAUGUCACUCAGCACACAAUAAUGGGUAAAGUUAACAGCAAGAAAGCGGCAUUUUCAAUCUAAAUCAAUUACAUGCAGGCCACCCAUUGACAAAAAGAGUGUAUUCAGUGCACAGAUGUGGGGAGAAGCCUUGCAAUGUCUCCCUCAUCCGUAAUUUAAGGAAAAAGACAAGACUGCACCUGAAGAAGAGAUCGUGGAGCUACUCGUGAAUAACUACAGUGAGGGCGAAUUAGUCUUAAGUCUGCAGAAGUGGUGACUCCUCCACCGAUCCUGAAUCCUUCAGUCUACAUAAGGUAACCGGACUUUAAAAUUGGAACCAAAAGAAGAAUCUGGCGGCUAGUAAAAGUGCCUAGUGAUGAGUUUUUAUGAGCUCAGCUCCCUUCAAAGGAACAAGUACUUUGUAUUUACCAUGACAUGCAAAAUGGACCGAUUUUGAUGCUGUUCUAGACGUUUGCUGAGGCAGCCUUUCUGUUUAGUUCCACUCAACUGUGUUAUGGCAGUCUUCACCAGACUCCGUCUCCUCCUGUUUGGAUGUGUGUUAAAAGAGGAUGUUAAUUGUCUGCGAAGCUACUUGAAUGACAAACAAUUGAACUUUAAACCUUCUGUAUUAACAUGUUAUCCUACAAAAAUAUUGUCUCAAUAUACAAUCUUGUACACAAUGUGGAUUGACAGGUUAAAUCGGUGUA